rnacentral:misc_RNA from 1 species
GCCACCGACGAUGGCCAAGUGAAAACUUGAGUACGGCUCCAUCACCACCAAAAGCACGUCUGGCUCAAAACCUCUUCUUUUUCAUUUAGUUCUUCUUGGCAUUUUUCGGUUUUUUCCUUGUAGAAGAACUUUGUCAAGUGGUGCUUCCUUUAGUAACAACCGUGAUUAGUUCGUUUGCGUGCGCAGAAAAGUGAAAACCGUGAAAUUUCCUUGUGUUUUUCGUUCGCACGCCGCUCUCUCGCCACACAAUACGCGAAGAAGGGAAAACUUUCCCAUUCAGCCAAUCUGACAAGAGCGACACGAAUUCCGCAGUGACCAUGGCCGAUAAUCAAAACACAGAGGAUCUCAUGAAGCAUUGCUACGAGAAUUUAAUUGUGAUAGACGUGGGCGCGAAUCUGACAAACAAAAAGUACAGCCGGGACCUCGACUCGGUGAUGCAGAGGGCAAAAGAUGCAGGUGUCCAAAAAAUUAUGGUCCCCGGCACAUCAGUCAAAUCCAGCAAAGAAGCUUUACGUCUCUCACGUAUCUACCCAGAUAUAAUCUAUUCCACAGCCGGUAUACAUCCACAUGAUUCAAAAUCAAUUGUGGAAGAGCCCGAAACGUGGUUUGAUUUCGAAGCAAUUGCACAAGCGCCUGAAUGUGUAGCAAUCGGACCGUGUGGCCUAGACUACCAGCGAGAUUUCUCCGAGCCAGACGUACAAAAGGAGAUAUUUGAGAAACAGUUACGUCUCGCUUGUAGUCUAAAUAAGCCAGUUUUGAUUCACGAACGAUCCGCUCAAGAUGAUGUAUUGGAAAUACUAAAGAAAUAUCCAAACAUAUCACAUGUUGUUAUUAGAGGAUUCAUGGGCACCACAGAGGAAGCACUCAAAUAUCUAGAUAUGGGAUACCAUAUCAGUUUAACGGGUUAUUUAUGUAAGGAUAAAUCUGACACAGGUGUCCGCAAAUUACUCGAAGAUGGCACGUUGCCAUUGGACAAGCUUCUGGUUGAAACGGACUCGCCGUUCAUGUAUCCAAAUACUCGAGCCUCUAAACUUCCUCAACACGUUAAGACUGGAAUAACGGAACGAUCGCUUUUAUAUUUACAUAGAUAUUGCACUUUUCAACGAAACGAACCCUGCAGUCUUCCUGCUAUUGUAGAGAUGAUUGCAUCAUUUAUGAAGAAAACACCAGACGAAGUGGCGCUGGCCACGGCCUUCACAGCUCUUAAGCUCUUUGGCCUAUCACAAUAACCAUGACUAGUUUUCUAUAUUUAUUUUUUUUACAGUUACAUUUAUUUUAUUUUUAUAGUCAGAGAAUGGAAGCUCUUCUGAUUUUUAAUAUUUUUAAGGAAUGACGUGUACCUACCAAAUUCGCUUCCUAUUUGCUUCCAGGUUUCUAGUUCUUCAAAGUUGUUAAAUGUAAACAUAUUGUUAUGUUCAAUUAUUUUUACGUGGUAGCGAGUAGUCGUUGGAACUCAUGGGCGUGUCUCAUAUUUAACUCGAACGUAUAUUAUACGCCAUUAUCAUUUUCAUUUUGCACGAGCAAGUUGAAUACUUUUUAUAUAUCAUAGAUUGCCUUUCUAUGUGAUCAACCGAAUUAUAUAGCUCAAUAUCUAAUAUAUUUGCCUAUAUGAUAUUUAUUCUUAAACAAAAGAAGAAAAACUACGUAAAAAACGUAAAAGGAGAAAAAAUCCAAAACACGUAAGCAAAAAAAUCGAGCUACUAACUUAUCGUUAUUCUAUUCAAAAGGACUUAUUGAAACGUCAUAGAAAUGAAGAAAAAAAGAUUAGAUUUUGUAAGAAAAAGUAACUGCAGUUAUGUUUCUAGUGAUAAGUGCCAUAAAAACGAUUUUAAAAGCUUUUGACCCACUACGUUGGAACACAGUAUACAAUUGCAACUCGAUGUACAUCAGGUUUGAGCUGUGUAGACUUUUAAUAUUUCUAUUUUAAGCUUAGCUAGCCGGCAAGCAAUAUGUUUAUUGUAUAGUUAGUUGGAAAACAAUUGUGAUCAAUUAUGCCUAAUGUUUAAGUGUAUAUUGUAUAAUUGCAUCUUUUUCAGGAACUUGUAUAUUAUUAUACACAAAGAAAAAUUGAUAUACAUCUCGAAA